rnacentral:lncRNA from 1 species
AUAGUCUGUUUCCCGGCCGUUAUUGAAAUUCUUGACAAUACCGUCCGGUAUGGGCUAAUUUUACUAUUUGAAAUGAACGAUCUCGAGCAUGCGCAGUUACGCAUUGUUGUUCCUCUUUGCCGCUUCGAAGAUGGUAGUGGGUUACAGAAAGCCACGAUACAGGUGAGUGGAGUAAUUUUAAGUUGCCCAUCUUGAAAGUAAGAUAGCCAAAACUCACCCGAUUCGUGUGGUAUAAUUUUUUUGAACAAUUAUUAAUCGCCCACAGAUGGGCAAGCUUUUGAAGUGGCCGCGAGGCCCUUCUUUUUGUGUCAAACUCGCAACUUUAGCCCAAAAAAUUGUUAAAAACAACUUUGCAAGCUUUCUAAGUAAAAUAUAAACGUGCUGCUCGUUUUUUUUUUAUGAAAAAAAUCAGUAAUUUCCUCUAUUUUUACAAAGAAAGAUUUGUACAAGUUGUGUUUUUAUGAUGUGAAACAUGGGCGAGGGGUCUCAAAAAGGCGUACACAAGUCACAACCAAUUUCAGAAGCAGUGAUCACUGGUGAUCCUCAAAACAUGUCUACAACUCAAAGACCUGGGUUUAUAGUGGACCCGGAUUCGUUAUGUUAUGGUAGACCCCCUCCAAAAAAAAGGGGGUCACCCGGUGUCAUAUUUAUGUAGAGGCAUAUACAGGCCUCAGAACACAUUUAUUCUUCCCCUUGGCUACAAUGCAUUUUUUAGUUAAAGUCAAAUUGAAUUAAAAAAUUUGCACCGCUAAAAACAUGAAAUAAAUGUAACUGCUUUAAAUAUAUAGACCAUUAUUAUUCUGAUAAAAUAUACUUGUCCCAGGACAAUCCAUCAGUGCUUUUUCUUUUGAGGGCCCUAUUACAUGUAGCAUGCCAAUGGUAGGAUUUGAAUCUUGAAUAAAUGACGAAGGCUAAUUUCUACCCUACUUUCAUUUUGGCCAAAUCACUACUUUCACUUCCAACAAUAAUUUUUUUCCACAUGUUUUACUUAUUUCAAUAUAAAUGCAACUGAUAGGACCACUUUAAUAGUAAACAUUUCAAAGAAAACAGUAGACAGAUUACUUGGGAAGAAAUACCCUAUAUAAUAAUUGGGAACUAUAUUCCUAGACCACGAACAAAGGGAAUUAAUUUUGAUCUGAGGCCUACAGCUACAUCAAGUGAAAUUUUGGAAAGAAGUACAAAUGUACAAACCUAAGAUAAAAAAAUAUAUUGAUAAAUUUAGUAAAGGUUCUCAGGCUGUCUGUAUCCGAUGACGCUUGUUGUUAGUCCAAAUAAUUAUGAGGUAUUGAAAGGCUUUUACAUUUUUUUUUGCUUUGAAGCCUUUCAGCUAAUGUAUCACAAACUUUGUGUGACCCUCAAAAUGUCAGACAAUAAAUCAUUUGGUCAUACAAACCCUAAAACAGUGGGGCACAUAUUAAUGCUUUCAGCACGGCCACCAGAAAUUUCCACAUUUUUCCUUCAUAAGACCCUCAAAAAUUAUUUUACUAAAUUUGUAUCUAUUUUAAAUUUGCAUGUACCAGACUCAGACAUUGGGCUUGUGACUCAAGGCAGACUUUUGCAAGGCAAAAUAUGUAUACCUUUAGAACAUGUACAUUGUUUGUAAUUGUUUACAUUUUUCUGUCAGUUAAAUUUUUGGCCUUUUUAAUUCAAUGUAAUUUAUCUUUGUAAAAACAACAUGUGGUAUGACAGCUAGUGAGACAGAUCUCAUUAAAGGGUACAAUCUUAGGCGGUACUGUUGGGCCAGGCCCCCCCCCUUUUUGUGAGAAAAAUUUGGUUGAUUAUAUAGGGAAUCACUGAAGCAUGACUGGAGUGAGCACCCCCUUUAGUUCAGUCAGUGGGCCCUCCAUUAUGAAAAGUUCUGGAUCCGCCAGCCCACUAAUAAUAAUACAUGUAUAUAUACAGAAAUAGACCUCAACUUUCACAUUAAUAUGAUUUAGAACAUAGAAAAUAUCAUGCAUUUAAAGCUUGUCAGGCCACAAUCAAAGGUUGACAUUUGGGUAGCAUUUUUUCCAAAGCAGAGAUCGGUUUGAGAGGCCUUUAGGUAGCCAUUCCUUUGGAUUUUUCAGGUAGCUUCCUUAUUUCCUUAUGCUUGGAAAAAUAUAGGAAAUCACUGAAGCAUGACUUGAACAGCCCCUCUUGGGCAGUCGGUGCCCCCCCCCCUUUCCUCUUUCCUGAAUUUUUUUGGAAAUGCCACUGAAAAUUAUAUAAAACAAACACUGAAACAGUAUUUAGAAAAAUUGUCAGUGUCUGUUUACAUGUAGAUGUGCACAUUGGUUUUCAACCCUAAAAAUUAGUUGAAAAGGCUCAACUCAUCAGAUGAUCAUCAUGUAUGUUUCAGUAAUAUUCAUACAUCAUGUACAUUGUACUUGCAAACUUUUCAAAAUUUUGUGAGCUUGCAUAUGUGUAAAGUGUAUCAAGAAAAUUUCAUCUUUUCACUGCUUGACUCGUCAUGUAAAAAAAAAAAUCUGUAGUGAGAAUCCUGAUAAUGGUCAUCCUCCUCUAACAAUGUAUAUUGUCACAAGUGUUUUAAUCUAACAGUACUAACUAUAUUGUUUAAGCUUAAACAUCCUUUAAAAUCAUUUGAAUAUCUGUUUUAAAUAUCAUUGUUUAUUAUAAUAGAGUAUGAAAAUUCAGGUCAACAAAUCUCAUGAGGGAAUUUGAAAGAAAGCAGGUCUUGAAAUUUGUUUAUAUUCUAUAGAUCUAAAACUUGUUUUGAUUAAAACAUGUAAAAGACUAUUUAUUGACCUCACUUUGAAUUUGUGUUAUCCGAAUUUUUGAAAUCAAUGUUUAUAGUUGAAUUGUCUUUCAGAAAUGGUCUACCAGUAUUUGACACGAGAGGGCCUAGGUACAGUAGGACUAGCUUUCUUGCAUGUUUGUCAGAGGGAUGACCCUAGUAAAAAGGUCUGACAUUCCAUACCUGAUAAUGAAAGAAAACACCAGAAACUAUUUACUGAGGUGAUUUUAAAUAAACUAAAUGGGAUUUCAUAUAUGAACAUAAUUAGUCCCUGAUUCAUAAAAAUUGUACAGUAUAUUUAAAGUACAAUAAAAUUAAAUCACUUAGUCUAGUGUUUUAUUUAUACUACUAGUACUUUUAAAAUUGGUGAUUAUUAAAGAAAGACAACUCUUACUUCCAACAUUUCUGGACAAAAUGUUACUUGAAUCAGUGAUUUAAGAUCACCCAUUUCAGUCUAACUGAUAUAUACAAGUAUGUACAAGUAUUUAUAUACAUGUAUAAACUUGUAAGGUUGAAAAAAUAAGCUAGUUUUUCGAUUUUACCUGUAUAAGAAUGAUUUUUUUGUGGAUAGAAUCAGUCAAUCUAAUGAUUUACCUUUAUUUCACUUUCAAUGUUGACAUUCUUUUCUAAUAACUGAUUAAUAGCCUAACACACAUCAACCAUGCAUAAUCCAUUUCUAGCUAAGGGUUUAAUUGAAGAUCACAUGAAUAGGGAUUCAAUGAGGUUGAAUUAUUCACUUGCAAGUAUCUUAACUCAUCAUCAGUGUUUAUUAGCUUAAUCACAAGUCAGAAAUAUGAAAUUUUACCUCUGCCAAAUGAUAAAUCACAAGUCAGCAUUUUUUUUUUAAUUGCUGCAUUAAAAAUAUCAGAAAAUACCAUGACAUAUAACAAGAAGAGAUAUAUAUAUACAAAAUGUAUAAAAACUAGAAGGGAUUUUUUUUCCAUGCCACAUUAAUGGACAUGAUGUAUGCAUAAUUUUUUGUUUUACAUACAUUGUACAACAACAUGUAUAUAUGUACAAUAAUAUUUACUUUUUUCUUUCAGGAACAAUGAUAAACAAGUGAACUGAUGGUUUAAAACUACCAAGAUGUGAAGUAAUGAACUAAAGAGUAACGUGAAGUCAGACAAUACAACCUGAGGUGUCAGAAUUUUUGCAAAAUUUUUGUUAUUUGCAGAUAUAUGGAUGGAUUUUGUCAAAAUAUGAACUGAAACACUGGGAUAAAAUUAUGGUUUUUUUUUCGUAUAAAAGAUCCGGUUGUGUUCCAUAAAUGUAUUUCUAAUAAUGAAUUUAAGAAUUAAAAUCUAUAUUUAUUUACUGAGUUUAUUGCUGCCCAAAAAGAGGUUAUUGUCUCUACUUUUCUACAACUUAUUAUUUCAUAAAUUGAUUGUAUAUCUUCUAUAAUGUUUAUGUGACAGUAAAUUGAUUAAUAGUGCCCUGUUGUUGACAUUAGUCCAAUAUAGUAGUCUCUUGUUUGUUUGGGCAAACAUAGAAUGUAUUUGAAGAAUUAAGCAAUUUAUACAAACGGUAUUGUUUCAAUGGGGUUUAAUUCAAAGUCUUGAAAUUGUGGGGUCCUUUUCUAUGCUAUUUUGGAUUUUU